UCCGAAUUGGUGUAGUGGCCAACAUUUGACGCUCUCAAAAAGGUUCUUUGAAUCUGAAGUACCGUCAAGCCCGGGGUUCGAUUCCCCGAUUCGGAG